CUUGCUUCUUYGCUGACGAGUGGCGGACGGGUGAGUAAUGUCUGGGAAACUGCCUGAUGGAGGGGGAUAACUACUGGAAACGGUAGCUAAUACCGCAUAACGUCGCAAGACCAAAGAGGGGGACCUUCGGGCCUCUUGCCAUCGGAUGUGCCCAGAUGGGAUUAGCUAGUAGGUGGGGUAACGGCUCACCUAGGCGACGAUCCCUAGCUGGUCUGAGAGGAUGACCAGCCACACUGGAACUGAGACACGGUCCAGACUCCUACGGGAGGCAGCAGUGGGGAAUAUUGCACAAUGGGCGCAAGCCUGAUGCAGCCAUGCCGCGUGUAUGAAGAAGGCCUUCGGGUUGUAAAGUACUUUCAGCGGGGAGGAAGGGAGUAAAGUUAAUACCUUUGCUCAUUGACGUUACCCGCAGAAGAAGCACCGGCUAACUCCGUGCCAGCAGCCGCGGUAAUACGGAGGGUGCAAGCGUUAAUCGGAAUUACUGGGCGUAAAGCGCACGCAGGCGGUUUGUUAAGUCAGAUGUGAAAUCCCCGGGCUCAACCUGGGAACUGCAUCUGAUACUGGCAAGCUUGAGUCUCGUAGAGGGGGGUAGAAUUCCAGGUGUAGCGGUGAAAUGCGUAGAGAUCUGGAGGAAUACCGGUGGCGAAGGCGGCCCCCUGGACGAAGACUGACGCUCAGGUGCGAAAGCGUGGGGAGCAAACAGGAUUAGAUACCCUGGUAGUCCACGCCGUAAACGAUGUCGACUUGGAGGUUGUGCCCUUGAGGCGUGGCUUCCGGAGCUAACGCGUUAAGUCGACCGCCUGGGGAGUACGGCCGCAAGGUUAAAACUCAAAUGAAUUGACGGGGGCCCGCACAAGCGGUGGAGCAUGUGGUUUAAUUCGAUGCAACGCGAAGAACCUUACCUGGUCUUGACAUCCACGGAAGUUUUCAGAGAUGAGAAUGUGCCUUCGGGAACCGUGAGACAGGUGCUGCAUGGCUGUCGUCAGCUCGUGUUGUGAAAUGUUGGGUUAAGUCCCGCAACGAGCGCAACCCUUAUCCUUUGUUGCCAGCGGUCCGGCCGGGAACUCAAAGGAGACUGCCAGUGAUAAACUGGAGGAA
rnacentral:rRNA from 1 species